ensembl:lncRNA
GCUGCUGCUGGCUAAGGAUAACGGGCCAAACCCCACCCAGCAUCAGGCGGUUAGAAACAGGACCUCUGCUGAGCUCCUCAGAGAAAGGAAAAAGGCCUCCAGGACUCUUGGAGGGAGCCCCGGGCUCAGCACCUGACCCUGCCGGAGCGGUUCCCGAAGGAGGCCUGGGAGCCCCGACGCAGAUUCUGUCGCUUUUCCCAUCGUCGCUCAGUCAUCGGCUUUGGCUCCUGAGUAUAGAAAGAGUUCCAGGAUGGUAUCAUCUCUUGCCAAGCCUCCAGUUAUUCAUCGUGUUAUUCUUCUGGAACUAAGUGUCCUAAGCAGGAAAAUGAAUGUCUGGGCAGCCGGGCCCAGGGUUGGCUCAGACAGUAAAACAAAGAGAGGAAGCGCUGUGCGGUAAUAACAAUAUUGGUCUCGAGACAGAACAUAGCACUGGCCCCGGAGGGCUCCGUUCAGAGUCUUCUUCUCUUGAGCUGUUUUGAUCCAGUUGUUGUAAGAACCUGCAGCCGUGGGGGCUCUGCUUCCCACCACUGUCCACACGCAC